GAAGUUGAAGUUGCUGCAACCCUUUGACGCAUUUCCUCGAACAGAUGGCGGGCAUGAAUUGCCCAGCCAUCUAGCCAUUGCAGGGGUCAAUUUUUCUUCCUCUAGUGACGGAUUCAGGAGUUGCAGGGGUCACUUGACCACCCUUGCUCCUCUGUGGAUCCGUCUCUGCUCUCAGCCACUGCCACCACCAUGGCCCAAUUGAAGGCCAUUUCCACAUUCUCAUCCUCCAACCUAGCUUUUCACGGUCCCAAAAGAGAGUAGCCGUUUUCCACUCUCUCCUCUCUCUCAACACUCUCUUCCAUGCUCUCUGUCUUCCUUCCUUAUGGCCAACACUCUCUUCCAUGCUCUCUGUCUUCCUUCCUCCCGGAGGAAGAGAAAUGAAAUCCUCGGUCGGAAUCGGGAUGAAAGGGGAGCAAAUCCAGGCUUCAGCUUGGAUUUUCAGCUGGUUUCAGCUGGUUUCCGCUGGAUUUUCAGCUGGGUUUGAAGGGUCUUCCAGACGAGGUCGAGGUCCAGCACUAUAGUGGUCGAAAUGGAAGAACUCGGUUGCAAACCCAGAAGUGCAGAAUCGAAGCGGCAGAACCAAAUUUCAGACAGUGAGCGAACAAGUCGGUACCCUCAAGCAGACAAUCUCUAUUCCUGAGGCGGGAUAUGUUACCCUCAAGCCGCAGAAACAGAGUGCUCAGAUGGAAGCCCAGAUGGAAGUUCCUGUGACUGAACCUCAGACAGAGACAGAUGGAAAACCCACGUCAACCUCAAACUGGCAAGCCUGGAAGGAUUCAGAUCAACAUAAGAGGACUAGGAGGAGGUCUGGGAGUUCUGUGAUUAAAAUGAAGUAGGUGAGUGGAAAUCUCCCAUUUUAACUCUCGUGGCUGUCUGUCUUCCUUGUCAAUCUUUAAGCAUAUUAGUUAGAGAAACAUAUUAGUUAGAGAAACAAUUACUAGAGGGUAAUUGAAAACUGUAUUGCGAAGCUAACCAGUUUCAGGUCUUUACUAAAGGAAGCAGUAUGACCCCAUCUAGUUAUAACAUUUGGUAGAAAACAAUGGUGGCUGACUGUCUGCAAAUUUUGGGCUUCACAAAAAAGGUCCAGCAAGUUUUGGACUUUUCAUCUCAA